CCAUGGAGACGCGUGGCUGGUCGCCCUGGCACCGCCCGCUGCGUGUGUGACGUCACGGUCUCGCCACUUGACGUCACGGGCGGGCGGUGCCGCAGGCUGGGAGGUUUCCGGGGCAGGCGCAGACCGGGGCGGCCGGCCAGGAAAUGGGCUGGCUUGGGGCAAGACGGUUUUUCCAUCUGGGUUUCCUGGGCCAAGAUGAAAAACCGGGUCGAGAACGAUGCGUCUGCCCUGGGAGCUGCCGUCUCUGCACUGACUAAGGCAAAGCCUCCAAAUCUGAACAGCCCCCCACACAGAUGAGCUUCCUAGGGAACAGCAGGCUCAGACUAAGCCCUGCACAUCCAAUGUGAUCCCGUCACUCCUUUGUUUUCUCUGUGGCAGAGGCAAACCUUGCCUUCUGUGCCCAGGAUCUCAUCCCAGCCAACUGUUCACGUUUUCACCAGGAUGGCUGCUUUUCUAUGCAGCCAGGGCUUGAUCCUGCUAUCAGAUUAACAACAAAAAACCUCCAUCAAUGUU